CCUACGGGAGGCAGCAGUGAGGAAUAUUGGUCAAUGGGAGAGAUCCUGAACCAGCCAAGCCGCGUGAGGGAAGACGGCCCUAUGGGUUGUAAACCUCUUUUGUCGGAGAACAAAACCCGGGACGUGUCCCGCACUGCGUGUAUCCGACGAACAAGCAUCGGCAAACCCCGUCCCGGCAGCCGCGGUAAUACGGAGGAUGCGAGCGUUAUCCGGAUGUAUUGGGUGUAAGGGGUGGGUAGGCGGUCCGUUCAGUCAGCGGUAAAAGUGCGGGGCUCAACCCCGUCGAGCCGUUGAAACUGGCAGACUGGAGUGGGGGAGAAGUACGCGGAAUGCGCGGUGUAGCGGUGAAAUGCAUAGAUAUCGCGCAGAACUCCGAUUGCGAAGGCAGCGUACCGGAGCCAGACUGACGCUGAGGCACGAAGGCGUGGGGAUCGAACAGGAUUAGAUACCCGAGUAGUC
rnacentral:rRNA from 1 species